rnacentral:misc_RNA from 1 species
UGUGGGAGGGGGCUUGCUCCCGAUAGCUGUGUUUCUGCCAGUUCAUCUUUGACUGACGCACAGCAAUCGGGAGCAAGCCCCCUCCCACA